GAUGAACGCUGGCGGCGUGCCUAAUACAUGCAAGUCGAGCGAACAGACGAGGAGCUUGCUCCUUCGACGUUAGCGGCGGACGGGUGAGUAACACGUAGGUAACCUACCUAUAAGACUGGGAUAACUUCGGGAAACCGGAGCUAAUACCGGAUAAUAUUUCGAACCGCAUGGUUCGAUAGUGAAAGAUGGCUUUGCUAUCACUUAUAGAUGGACCUGCGCCGUAUUAGCUAGUUGGUAAGGUAACGGCUUACCAAGGCAACGAUACGUAGCCGACCUGAGAGGGAGAUCGGCCACACUGGAACUGAGACACGGUCCAGACUCCUACGGGAGGCAGCAGUAGGGAAUCUUCCGCAAUGGGCGAAAGCCUGACGGAGCAACGCCGCGUGAGUGAUGAAGGUCUUCGGAUCGUAAAACUCUGUUAUUAGGGAAGAACAAACGUGUAAGUAACUGUGCACGUCUUGACGGUACCUAAUCAGAAAGCCACGGCUAACUACGUG
rnacentral:rRNA from 1 species